AACGCUGGCGGCAGGCCUAACACAUGCAAGUCGAGCGAGGACUUCGGUCCUAGCGGCGGACGGGUGAGUAACGCGUGGGAACGUGCCCUUUGCUUCGGAAUAGCCCCUGGAAACGGGGAGUAAUACCGGAUGUGCCCUUUGGGGGAAAGAUUUAUCGGCAAAGGAUCGGCCCGCGUUGGAUUAGGUAGUUGGUGGGGUAAUGGCCUACCAAGCCGACGAUCCAUAGCUGGUUUGAGAGGAUGAUCAGCCACACUGGGACUGAGACACGGCCCAGACUCCUACGGGAGGCAGCAGUGGGGAAUCUUAGACAAUGGGCGCAAGCCUGAUCUAGCCAUGCCGCGUGAGCGAUGAAGGCCUUAGGGUUGUAAAGCUCUUUCAGGGGGGAAGAUAAUGACGGUACCCCCAGAAGAAGCCCCGGCUAACUCCGUGCCAGCAGCCGCGGUAAUACGGAGGGGGCUAGCGUUGUUCGGAAUUACUGGGCGUAAAGCGCACGUAGGCGGAUCAGAAAGUCAGAGGUGAAAUCCCAGGGCUCAACCUUGGAACUGCCUUUGAAACUCCUGGGUCUUGAGGUCNAGAGAAGUGAGUGGAAU
rnacentral:rRNA from 1 species